rnacentral:rRNA from 1 species
UACAGAGGGUGCGAGCGUUAAUCGGAAUUACUGGGCGUAAAGCGCGCGUAGACGGUUUUGUAAGUCAGAUGUGAAAUCCCUGGGCUCAACCUAGGAACUGCAUUUGAGACUGCAUGGCUAGAGUAUCGAAGAGGGAAGUGGAAUUUCCGGUGUAGCGGUGAAAUGCGUAGAUAUCGGAAGGAACACCAGUGGCGAAAGCGACUUCCUGGUCGAAUACUGACGUUCAUGUGCGAAAGCGUGGGGAGCAAACAGG